GAUGAAGAACGUAGCGAAAUGCGAUAAGUAAUGUGAAUUGCAGAAUUCAGUGAAUCAUCGAAUCUUUGAACGCACAUUGCGCCCGCCAGUAUUAUGGCGGGCAUGCCUGUUCGAGCGUCAUUACAACCCUCAGGCCCCCGGGCCUGGCGUUGGGGAUCGGCGGAAGCCCCCUGCGGGCACAACGCCGUCCCCCAAAUACAGUGGCGGUCCCGCCGCAGCUUCCAUUGCGUAGUAGCUAACACCUCGCAACUGGAGAGCGGCGCGGCCACGCCGUAAAACACCCAACGUCUGAAUGUUGACCUCGAAUCAGGUAGGAAUACCCGCUGAACUUAAGCAUAUCAAUAAGCGGAGGA
rnacentral:misc_RNA from 1 species